rnacentral:rRNA from 1 species
GGGAUUAGUGGCGAACGGGUGAGUAACACGUGAGUAACCUGCCCUUGACUCUGGGAUAAGCCUGGGAAACUGGGUCUAAUACCGGAUAUGACUGUCUGACGCAUGUCAGGUGGUGGAAAGCUUUUGUGGUUUUGGAUGGACUCGCGGCCUAUCAGCUUGUUGGUGGGGUAAUGGCCUACCAAGGCGACGACGGGUAGCCGGCCUGAGAGGGUGACCGGCCACACUGGGACUGAGACACGGCCCAGACUCCUACGGGAGGCAGCAGUGGGGAAUAUUGCACAAUGGGCGCAAGCCUGAUGCAGCGACGCCGCGUGAGGGAUGACGGCCUUCGGGUUGUAAACCUCUUUCAGUAGGGAAGAAGCGAAAGUGACGGUACCUGCAGAAGAAGCGCCGGCUAACUACGUGCCAGCAGCCGCGGUAAUACGUAGGGCGCAAGCGUUAUCCGGAAUUAUUGGGCGUAAAGAGCUCGUAGGCGGUUUGUCGCGUCUGCUGUGAAAGACCGGGGCUCAACUCCGGUUCUGCAGUGGGUACGGGCAGACUAGAGUGAUGUAGGGGAGACUGGAAUUCCUGGUGUAGCGGUGAAAUGCGCAGAUAUCAGGAGGAACACCGAUGGCGAAGGCAGGUCUCUGGGCAUUAACUGACGCUGAGGAGCGAAAGCAUGGGGAGCGAACAGGAUUAGAUACCCUGGUAGUCCAUGCCGUAAACGUUGGGCACUAGGUGUGGGGGACAUUCCACGUUUUCCGCGCCGUAGCUAACGCAUUAAGUGCCCCGCCUGGGGAGUACGGCCGCAAGGCUAAAACUCAAAGGAAUUGACGGGGGCCCGCACAAGCGGCGGAGCAUGCGGAUUAAUUCGAUGCAACGCGAAGAACCUUACCAAGGCUUGACAUGAACCGGUAAUACCUGGAAACAGGUGCCCCGCUUGCGGUCGGUUUACAGGUGGUGCAUGGUUGUCGUCAGCUCGUGUCGUGAGAUGUUGGGUUAAGUCCCGCAACGAGCGCAACCCUCGUUCUAUGUUGCCAGCGCGUUAUGGCGGGGACUCAUAGGAGACUGCCGGGGUCAACUCGGAGGAAGGUGGGGACGACGUCAAAUCAUCAUGCCCCUUAUGUCUUGGGCUUCACGCAUGCUACAAUGGCCGGUACAAAGGGUUGCGAUACUGUGAGGUGGAGCUAAUCCCAAAAAGCCGGUCUCAGUUCGGAUUGGGGUCUGCAACUCGACCCCAUGAAGUCGGAGUCGCUAGUAAUCGCAGAUCAGCAACGCUGCGGUGAAUACGUUCCCGGGCCUUGUACACACCGCCCGUCAAGUCACGAAAGUUGGUAACACCCGAA